GACGAACGCUGGCGGCGUGCCUAAUACAUGCAAGUUGAGCGCUGAAGGUUGGUACUUGUACCAACUGGAUGAGCAGCGAACGGGUGAGUAACGCGUGGGGAAUCUGCCUUUGAGCGGGGGACAACAUUUGGAAACGAAUGCUAAUACCGCAUAAAAACUUUAAACACAAGUUUUAAGUUUGAAAGAUGCAAUUGCAUCACUCAAAGAUGAUCCCGCGUUGUAUUAGCUAGUUGGUGAGGUAAAGGCUCACCAAGGCGAUGAUACAUAGCCGACCUGAGAGGGUGAUCGGCCACAUUGGGAAUGAGACACGGCCCAAACUCCUACGGGAGGCAGCAGUAGGGAAUCUUCGGCAAUAGACGAAAGUCUGACCGAGCAACGCCGCGGGAGUGAAGAAGGGUUUCGGAUCGUAAAACUCUGUUGGUAGAGAAGAACGUUGGUGAGAGUGGAAAGCUCAUCAAGUGACGGUAACUACCCAGAAAGGGACGGCUAACUACGUG
rnacentral:rRNA from 1 species